AUUGAACGCUAGCGGGAUGCUUUACACAUGCACGUCGAACGGGGUGGCGGACGGGUGAGUAAGAUAUCGGAACGUGCCCCGUGGCUGGGGAUAACUAAUCGAACGAGUGGCUAAUACAGAAUAGUCUUGGGCCAGCAGAGAUCGGAAGAGCUAGUUGGUGGGGUAACGGCUCACCAAGGAAACGAUCCGUAGCUGGUGUGAGAGGACGACCAUCCACACUGGGACUGAGACACGGCCCAGACUCCUACGGGAGGCAGCAGUGGUGAAUUUUGGACAAUGGGGGAAACCCUGAGCCAGCCAUCCCGCGUGUAUGAUGAAGGCCUUCGGGUUGUAAAGUACUUUUGGCAGAGAAGCGGUAUCUGCAGAAUAAGCACCGGCUAACUACGUGCCAGCCGCCGCGGUAAUAC
rnacentral:rRNA from 1 species